UAGGAACGGGCGUGGUGUUGUCGCAGA
rnacentral:piRNA from 1 species